ACCCGCACAAGCAGCGGAGCGUGUGGUUUAAUUCGUUGCUACACGAAGAACCUUACCUGGGUUUGACAUAUAGGUUGUAGGGAACUGAAAGGGACCGACCUUCGGGAGCCUAUACAGGUGUUGCAUGGCUGUCGUCAGCUCGUGUCGUGAGAUGUUCGGUUAAGUCCGCUAACGAGCGCAACCCUCGUCGUAUGUUAUAUGUGUCAUACGAGACUGCCGGUAAAAGCCGGAGGAAGGUGAGGAUGAUGUCAAGUCAGCAUGACCUUUAUAUCCAGGGCUACACACACGCUACAAUGGUCUGUACAAUGGGUAGCCAAGCCGCGAGGCGGAGCCAAUCCUGAAAGCAGGCCUCAGUUCAGAUUGCAGUCUGCAACUCGACUGCAUGAAGCCGGAGUUGCUAGUAACCGCAGGUCAGCAAUACUGCGGUGAAUACGUUCCCGGGUCUU
rnacentral:rRNA from 1 species